ensembl:snRNA U6 U6 spliceosomal RNA
GUGCUCACUUCUGCAGCACAUAUACUAAAAUUGGAAUGAGACAGAGAAGAUUAGCAUGGCCCCUGCACAAGGAUGACAUGCAAAUUCCUGAAGCGUUCCAUAUUUUU